CCUACGGGACGCACCAGUGGGGAAUAUUGCACAAUGGGCGAAAGCCUGAUGCAGCAACGUCGCGUGAGGGAUGACGGCCUUCGGGUUGUAAACCUCUUUUAGUAGAGAAGAAGCGAAAGUGACGGUACCUGCAGAAAAAGCACCGGCUAACUACGUGCCAGCAGCCGCGGUAAUACGUAGGGUGCAAGCGUUGUCCGGAAUUAUUGGGCGUAAAGAGCUCGUAGGCGGUUUGUCGCGUCUGCUGUGAAAUCCCGAGGCUCAACCUCGGGCUUGCGGUGGGUACGGGCAGACUAGAGUGCGGUAGGGGGGAUUGGAAUUCCUGGUGUAGCGGUGGAAUGCGCAGAUAUCAGGAGGAACACCGAUGGCGAAGGCAGAUCUCUGGGCCGUAACUGACGCUGAGGAGCGAAAGCGUGGGGAGCGAACAGGAUUAGAUACCCGAGUAGUC
rnacentral:rRNA from 1 species